AUUGAACGCUGGCGGCAGGCCUAACACAUGCAAGUCGAGCGAGCGGCGGACGGGUGAGUAAUGUCUGGGAAACUGCCUGAUGGAGGGGGAUAACUACUGGAAACGGUAGCUAAUACCGCAUACCAUCAGAUGUGCCCAGAUGGGAUUAGCUAGUAGGUGGGGUAACGGCUCACCUAGGCGACGAUCCCUAGCUGGUCUGAGAGGAUGACCAGCAACAUGGGAACUGAGACACGGUCCAGACGCAUCCGGGAGGCAGCAGGGGGGAAUAUGGCACAAUGGGCGCAAGCCUGAUGCAGCCAUGCGGCGUGUGUGAAGAAGGCCUUCGGGUUGUAAAGCACUUUCAGCGGGGAGGCGUUACCCGCAGAAGAAGAACCGGCUAACUCCGUGCCAGCAGCCGCGGUAAUAC
rnacentral:rRNA from 1 species